AUUGAACGCUGGCGGCAGGCCUAACACAUGCAAGUCGAGCGGAGCGGCGGACGGGUGAGUAAUGCCUAGGAAUCUGCCUGGUAGUGGGGGAUAGCGUCCGGAAACGGGCGCUAAUCCCUCAUACUUUCCAAUGAGCCUAGGUCGGAUUAGCUAGUUGGUGGGGUAAAGGCCUACCCAGGCGACGAUCCGUCACUGGUCUGAGAGGAUGAUCAGUCACACUGGAACGGAGACACGGGCCAGACUCCUACGGGAGGCAGCAGUGGGGAAUAUUGGACAAUGGGCGCAAGCCUGAUGCAGCCAUGCCGCGUGUAUGAAGAAGGCCUUCGGGUUGUAAAGUACUUUCAGCGGGGAGGCGUUACCCGCAGAAGAAGCACCGGCUAACUCCGUGCCAGCAGCCGCGGUAAUAC
rnacentral:rRNA from 1 species